rnacentral:rRNA from 1 species
CGUGAGUGAUGAAGGCUUUCGGGUCGUAAAGCUCUGUCAAGUGGGAAGAACCCACAUGGUGUUAAUACCACCAUGUGUUGACGGUACCACUGAAGGAAGCACCGGCUAACUCCGUGCCAGCAGCCGCGGUAAUACGGGGGGUGCAAGCGUUAUUCGGAAUUACUGGGCGUAAAGAGCGCGUAGGCGGUCUUUUAAGUCAGGUGUGAAAGCCCGGGGCUCAACCCCGGAAGUGCACUUGAAACUAAGGGACUUGAGUAUGGGAGAGGGAAGUGGAAUUCCUGGUGUAGCGGUGAAAUGCGUAGAUAUCAGGAGGAACAUCGGUGGCGAAGGCGACUUCCUGGACCAAUACUGACGCUGAGGCGCGAAGGCGUGGGGAGCAAACAGGAUUAGAUACCCUGGUAGUCCGCGCAGUAAACGGUGAACACUAGGUGUAGCGGGUAUUGACCCCUGCUGUGCCGCAGCAAACGCAUUAA